rnacentral:rRNA from 1 species
ACAGGAUUAGAUACCCUGGUAGUCCACGCCGUAAACGAUGUCGACUUGGAGGCUGUUCCCUUGAGGAGUGGCUUCCGGAGCUAACGCGUUAAGUCGACCGCCUGGGGAGUACGGCCGCAAGGUUAAAACUCAAAUGAAUUGACGGGGGCCCGCACAAGCGGUGGAGCAUGUGGUUUAAUUCGAUGCAACGCGAAGAACCUUACCUGGCCUUGACAUCCACGGAACUUGGCAGAGAUGCCUUGGUGCCUUCGGGAACCGUGAGACAGGUGCUGCAUGGCUGUCGUCAGCUCGUGUUGUGAAAUGUUGGGUUAAGUCCCGCAACGAGCGCAACCCUUAUCCUUUGUUGCCAGCGAUUCGGUCGGGAACUCAAAGGAGACUGCCGGUGAUAAACCGGAGGAAGGUGGGGAUGACGUCAAGUCAUCAUGGCCCUUACGGCCAGGGCUACACACGUGCUACAAUGGCGCAUACAAAGAGAAGCGACCUCGCGAGAGCAAGCGGACCUCAUAAAGUGCGUCGUAGUCCGGAUCGGAGUCUGCAACUCGACUCCGUGAAGUCGGAAUCGCUAGUAAUCGUGGAUCAGAACGCCACGGUGAAUACGUUCCCGGGCCUUGUACACACCGCCCGUCACACCAUGGGAGUGGGUUGCAAAAGAAGUAGGUAGCUUAACCUUCGGGAGGGCGCUUACCACUUUGUGAUUCAUGACUGGGGUGAAGUCGUAACAAGGUA